GAAUCUUUCUGUCAUUAGGUUUGGAUUUUGGUCAUUGUUGGGAAAGGUUCUUGAACAAUGAACUAAAUCCAACAAUGAACGAAAUCCAAAUCUAAUUACAAAAAGAUUG